rnacentral:rRNA from 1 species
GACGAACCGUGCGAACGUUAUUCGGAAUCACUGGGCUUAAAGGGCGCGUAGGCGGGCGACCAAGUCAGGGGUGAAAUCGUUCGGCCCAACCGGACAAGGGCCCCUGAUACUGGUUGUCUCGAGGGAGGUAGGGGUCGAUGGAACUUCCGGUGGAGCGGUGAAAUGCGUAGAUAUCGGGAAGAACACCCGUGGCGAAGGCGGCUUUCUGGGCCUUACCUGACGCUGAGGAGCGAAAGCGUGGGUAGCGAACAGG